rnacentral:tRNA from 1 species
AAGGAAUUAGUUAAUUCAUAACAUUAAUAUGUCAUAUUAAAAUUAUAUUUAUAUUUCUUU